UCCCUGAUGUUAGCGGCGGACGGGUGAGUAACACGUGGGUAACCUGCCUGUAAGACUGGGAUAACUCCGGGAAACCGGGGCUAAUACCGGAUGCUUGAUUGAACCGCAUGGUUCAAUUAUAAAAGGUGGUAGCUACUACUUACAGAUGGACCCGCGGCGCAUUAGCUAGUUGGUGAGGUAACGGCUCACCAAGGCGACGAUGCGUAGCCGACCUGAGAGGGUGAUCGGCCACACUGUUACUGAGACACGGCCCAGACUCCUACGGGAGGCAGCAAUAGGGAAUCUUCCGCAUAGGACGAAAGUCUGACGGAGCAACGCCGCGUGAGUGAUGAAGGUUUUCGGAUCGUAAUUCUCUGUUGUUAGGGAAGAACAAGUACCGUUCGAAUAGGGCGGUACCUUGACGGUACCUAACCAGAAAGCCACGGCUAACUACGUGCCAGCAGCCGCGGUAAUACGUAGGUGGCAAGCGUUGUCCGGAAUUAUUGGAUGUAAAGCGCGCGCAGGCGGUUUCUUAAGUCUGAUGUGAAAGCCCCCGGCUCAACCGGGGAGGGUCAUUGGAAACUAGGGAACUUGAGUGCAGAAGAGGAGAGUGGAAUUCCACGUGUAGCGGUGAAAUGCGUACAGAUGUGGAGGAACACCAGUGGCGAAGGCGACUCUCUGGUCUGUAACUGACGCUGAGGCGCGAAAGCGUGGGGAGCGAACAGGAUUAGAUACCCUGGUAGUCCACGCCGUAAACGAUGAGUGCUAAGUGUUAGAGGGUAACCGCCCUUUAGU
rnacentral:rRNA from 1 species